ensembl:lncRNA
UUUCAGUUUCCUCACUUCAAAAUUGUAAAUUUAGUGAAAUGUUACUUGAUGUUUCUUUGUGAAUAUUUGUGAAAUUUUCUAGCACUUUCUGAGUUUUUAAAUUUGACAAACUUUUAAGACUUCCGUCAAAGAAUGCAAAAUCAAUAUAAGUGGUCUGCGUACAUAUCCAGUAAGGUGUGAGUGUGUGGGCUGGCCUGUUCAAUAUUCAAAUACCUUUUUUACACAUUUAUGGCCUUAUAAAGUGUUUCAAAGUGGACCGAACUGAUAAACAAGCCUCCUGACAAGCAAAAUAAAAGGGCAGGGGAAAGUCUUAUCUAAAUUUUCCUCUGUGACCUUGGAAACCAUUUGAUAAGGGGCACAUGAAAUGCUUGCGGCAAAAUAAUUUCUUUUUCUGACUAAACGUGGCGUAGUUUUAUCAGUUUACCCUGAUCUGAUCAGCUGGGAUCCCAGCAAUCCUCACACGUCAUUGGUGAUGUGGCGAGAUUACAGUAAUGUACAGAGAGUAGCCUAGAAACUUUAAUGUUAUACAAUGCAAGUAUCUCUUUACCACUGAAGGCCUCAGCUGGUGUUUAGAAAGAAUUCUUGCUGACUGCAGGCAGAGAAUAAAAGCAUGGCCAACAUGGCAGGUGUGAUGUUGGCAGUGAUUUAUUUAUUUAUUAUUUCUUUCAUUUUGCAUCUUCACACAUUCUGCUCAGUGUGCGAUUCUAAGCUGAUUUUUGCUUUUGUGUCACAGAUAAUAUAAUAUUAUUUAAUUUGAGGAGGAAUAACAUUUGUUUUUUUUUGCUUAUUGAUAAUGAAAUUACUUCUGCUAAUGGUACAUUUAUGCAUAGUUAUGCAAUAAGUGCAAAUAAACCCACUUCUGACUAUGAUAGGCUCUUUUUAUGAAUUACUAGCUGAAAAAAUGAGGCUCUUUUUUCCCAUUUUUUUUUUUUCAAUUACAUGAUUUUUGACCAAUGUUCUGCAUUUUUUUUGUCUUUCCUCAGGUUGAUGGUGUCUGUACUACAGAUGACAGUGUUCCAUUAACCAUUAUCUUAUCUUCUCAAAUCAGGUCAGAGAUCACUGAACUUGAACUUUGGUAUGCAUUGGAAGGUGAAAAAACUUCACGUGCUUGCGUUUCCAUUCUCCCACAUUUGCACGCAUCUUGUAAGUGACCUGAGCUCAAAGUCUGCUGUGGCCACACCUGAAGCCUUCCGCUCAUUAGCUGGAUGCUAGCUGCUUCUCACAGAGGAUGUGCUUAUUUUGACAGUCUGGCAUUCUGAAAUGAGUGGAAUCACUUUGUUCUGUUACAGCAGUAUUUUCGCCCACCAGAUAUGGUUCCAGAGACCACAGUGGUUAUUAAAUAUAAUAUUCUGUUUAAACCUUUAACUGAGUGCACUGAACUGCAUUCAGCCUUUCAAUUAAUUUGCACAUUGUUUAGCAGUGACCCAAUAAUAAACUACAAAAUGUGACCUGAACCUGCAUAGUCUUUUUGCAUUCGUACUGAAUGAUAAAAUGUGUAUAAUAGUGUGUUUCAUGACUUGCCAGCCGAGUUUUCUGUCGUCUGUGGUCUGCACACCCAGUGUUCUCCCCUCUGCAUGUGUUUAGCAUGCCGUGUCUCGGGAAAAGCCACCACAACUAUGUCAUGCAGACAUUUAUUUUUGCCUUGUAA